rnacentral:rRNA from 1 species
UGGGGAAUUUUGGACAAUGGGCGAAAGCCUGAUCCAGCAAUGCCGCGUGUGUGAAGAAGGCCUUCGGGUUGUAAAGCACUUUUGUCCGGAAAGAAAUCCUUGGCUCUAAUACAGUCGGGGGAUGACGGUACCGGAAGAAUAAGCACCGGCUAACUACGUGCCAGCAGCCGCGGUAAUACGUAGGGUGCAAGCGUUAAUCGGAAUUACUGGGCGUAAAGCGUGCGCAGGCGGUUUGCUAAGACCGAUGUGAAAUCCCCGGGCUCAACCUGGGAACUGCAUUGGUGACUGGCAGGCUAGAGUAUGGCAGGAGGGGGGUAGAAUUCCACGUGUAGCAGUGAAAUGCGUAGAGAUGUGGAGGAAUACCGAUGGCGAAGGCAGCCCCCUGGGCCAAUACUGACGCUCAUGCACGAAAGCGUGGGGAGCAAACAGGAUUAGAUACCCUGGUAGUCCACGCCCUAAACGAUGUCAACUAGUUGUUGGGGAUUCAUUUCCUUAGUAACGUAGCUAACGCGUGAAGUUGACCGCCUGGGGAGUACGGUCGCAAGAUUAAAACUUAAAUGAAUUGACGGGGUCAUAGCUG